UACGUAGGGUGCAAGCGUUGUCCGGAAUUAUUGGGCGUAAAGAGCUCGUAGGCGGCUUGUCACGUCGACUGUGAAAACCCGGGGCUCAACCCCGGACUUGCAGUGGGUACGGGCAGACUAGAGUGUGGUAGGGGAGACUGGAAUUCCUGGUGUAGCGGUGGAAUGCGCAGAUAUCAGGAGGAACACCGGUGGCGAAGGCGGCUUUCUGGACAGAUACCGACGUGAGGCACGAAAGCUAGGGGAGCAAACAGG
rnacentral:rRNA from 1 species